UACGUAGGGUGCGAGCGUUGUCCGGAAUUAUUGGGCGUAAAGAGCUCGUAGGCGGUCUGUCGCGUCGGUCGUGAAAACUUGGGGCUUAACCCUGAGCUUGCGGUCGAUACUGGCGUGCUUGAGGACUGGAGAGGAGACUGGAAUUUACGGUGUAGCAGUGAAAUGCGUAGAGAUCGUAAGGAAGACCAGUGGCGAAGGCGGGUCUCUGGACAGUUCCUGACACUGAGGCACGAAGGCCAGGGGAGCAAACGGG
rnacentral:rRNA from 1 species